rnacentral:rRNA from 1 species
AUUGAACGCUGGCGGCAGGCCUAACACAUGCAAGUCGAGCGAGCGGCGGACGGGUGAGUAAUGUCUGGGAAACUGCCUGAUGGAGGGGGAUAACUACUGGAAACGGUAGCUAAUACCGCAUACCAUCAGAUGUGCCCAGGUGGGAUUAGCUAGUAGGUGGGGUAACGGCUCACCUAUGCGACGAUCCCUAGCUGGUCUUAGAGGAUGACCAGAGACACUGGAACUGAGACACGGACCAGACUCCUACGGGAGGCAGCAUUGGGGAAUAUUGCACAAUGGGCGCGAGCCUGAUGCAGCCAUGCCGCGGGUGUGAAGAAGGCCUUCGGGUUGUAAAGCACUUUCAGCGGGGAGGCGUUACCCGCAGAAGAAGCACCGGCUAACUCCGUGCGAGCAGCCGCGGUAAUUC